UACGAAGGGGGCUAGCGUUGCUCGGAAUCACUGGGCGUAAAGCGCACGUAGGCGGCUUGUUAAGUCAGGGGUGAAAUCCUGGAGCUCAACUCCAGAACUGCCUUUGAUACUGGCGAGCUUGAGUUCGGGAGAGGUGAGUGGAACUGCGAGUGUAGAGGUGAAAAUUCGUAGAUAUUCGCAAGAACACCAGUGGCGAAGGCGGCUCACUGGCCCGAUACUGACGCUGAGGUGCG
rnacentral:rRNA from 1 species